GGGAGGGUGUGGGGAGUUAUGGUUCGGAAAUGUUUCCCUCCAAAAGCUAUAUCUGUCGAAGGUUUGGGUCCCAGCUGCUGACAUUAUUGGAAUGUAAUUGGAUCAUGGGGAUACUUAUUUUUUUUAUCAAUGAGCAUAAACCCCUGAUAACUUUAUAAUGAACAAGAUUUUAAGAGAAGGAACGUUAACUGCAAAAAGUAGGUUACUGGAAGUACGUCCUCAUUCAAAUGGUAUAUUUUGUCACUAUCACUUUCUCCAACCCUCUCCCCUAAUAUCUCUCUAAUAAACUAUAACGCACAGUGAGCUAUACUUUCCAUAGAAGAUGCCCUGUUCUACCAUAUAUGGGCUCAGAAACAAUGGCACUAAAUGAAUGUUGGAUUCUGAUGAAUUCUACCAAACUAAAGUCUUCU
rnacentral:lncRNA from 1 species